GAUGAAGAACGCAGCGAAAUGCGAUGAGUAAUGUGAAUUGCAGAAUUCAGUGAAUCAUCGAAUCUUUGAACGCACAUUGCGCCCCUUGGUAUUCCGGGGGGCAUGCCUGUUCGAGCGUCAUUAUAACCCUCAAGCCUAGCUUGGUGUUGGAGCAUGCUACCUAAGCAGCUCUUAAAAUCAGUGGCAGUGCCCUUCGGCUCUAAGCGUAGUAACUUCUCUCGCUAUGGAACCCGGAGGGUACGCGCCAGAACCCCCAACUUUCUAUGGUUGACCUCGGAUCAGGUAGGGAUACCCGCUGAACUUAAGCAUAUCAAUAAGCGGAGGA
rnacentral:misc_RNA from 1 species